rnacentral:sRNA from 1 species
UUAUUUAAUGUUAUCGUCUAAGUUAUGUUCCUAGUUCUUCUAAUGCCGUUAUGUUUCUAUUUCGUUUUAUCCUCUAUGCGUGAAGUUGUUCAAGUUCUUGUAAUGCUUCUAUAAAGUUAUGUUUCAAUUUGUGCUUAUCCUCUGGUUUACAAAGUUUCUCGGUUUAAUGGUUUAUUCGGAUGUAAGCAAUAAAUUUGAAGUUUCGUAAUCCAUACUUCUUUCUGUACUUACAUUAUAACUUUAAAGUUACUAUAAAUGUAGGAAUAAAUAUGAUUGGAUUGACGCAAAAGACAGUAUUGUGAUACACGUGACCAGGCAUAAUAAAUACACUCCAAUUCGGCGUAUAGGUUUAUAUAGACGUACACGUGUUACUAAUGACGUACAUGUAACUAAUGAGUCGACGAGUUAUCUUGGGUUUACAUU